UUUGUCUUCUCCCUCAUUACUGCAGCAACGAAGCUUUCAGCUUCCAGGGAGAAGAGAAACGAGAAACAUUCCCGUAACCCUCACGUUAAUUCCCGAUCCCCGUAACUUCUCCGUCCGAGCUCCAAUCGCCGCACCGUUUGCGGCCACGCGUUCACCGCGUCGAGCUCUACAUUUCUACCGGAACAAUUUCAUAGGAUCCAAUUAGUUUGAGAGAAACGUUCACUCUUGCUUAUGUGAAGCUUGGGUAAGGUUGAAAAUAAAUAAUUGGAGCUUGAAACUGUGAAUACUGGAACUUGGAGGAAGCGGAUUAGUUGAGUUUUGAGGGGUUGUCUUGGUUUUGAAUAAAUAGCUUUGGUCGUUACGUGGAAAUCGGCCAAGAUGCAGGUCGAGAGGCAUCUUGUUAGGCGUCUGGACUCUUGAAGCGAAGUGGUUACUGGGAUAUUUUGUUAUGCUAUGAUGUAUAUAU